GGCCCAAUGGUCUAGAGGUAAGAUACUUGCUUUGGGAGCUUCGCACCGACUGCAAGGGAUCCCGGGUUCGAAUCCCGGUUGGGCCC